GCUUUGCAAGAACUGGGGGUGGGGGCAGCAAAAUUGUGUUGGAAGUUUCCAGAAAUGGUGCUUCUGGCCUUUGGUCUUUGUGAGUGUUGGAGGGGACAGCAUCUGGCCACCCUCACACCCAGCCAGACUCUUGAGGCCCCUAGUGGAUUGUCGUUGGACUAGAAGCACUCCCCGACUCCAAUCACCUUCUACCCCAGAAAAGAUACCAAGUCCCGCCUCUCUUCUGUUUCUUAAGCUUUCUGUCUCGCACAACCUACCAAGGACUGGUGCUGGCAGGACCACAGGCUUCAUCUCCUAGGCCCAGGGGGUGAAGUGGCUUCCUCAGACACACAAGCACGAAUACCCUAGCUCAGAUUUGAGCUUGGGUUUGUGUUCCAAGGGGAGCCGGAGGAAGGGAGAUUGGAAAUUCAAAGGCCAGCCUGAGCUACAUACCAAGACCCUGUUUCAAACACCAGAAAAAUCUAACUGAGCCUCACAUUCGGGUCUGGUGUGGCUGGCUAUUUCACACAUGUUCUCUUGGUCCACUGCAAGCCUAGAACCAUAGGAUAGACAUAUCUUCUUAACACGGUAGGCCAUGAUAUAUGUACGGGCUGAUGAUGAAAGACCCUCAGAUUGAGGAGACUCUCACUCCAGUCCUGAGGACACCCACCACCCCACGAACACACGGGACUCACUCUUGAUGUAAAAACAAGAGGUUUACUUGGGAUACCAGUGCACUGGGGCUCGACACGGUCCUCACGCAGGAGGGAUGUGAAAAGCCCGGAACAGCAGGAACACACAGUCUGUAUAGUCCCCACAAGGUCACACAGCUUCAUUAGCUCAGCUAUUUCGGUGCCAAGGAUACCUGACCAGGCAGAUGUUUCUCGUCCUGGAGUUCCUGGGACAAAGCCGCAACCAUAUCAGCGCAGCUAUUCCAGUACCAAGGAUGUCUGACUUGACAAAUGUUUUCCCGUCCUGGGGUCCCCAGGACAAGGCCACAGCGAUAUCAUCUGUUCUUGUGCCUGGGUUGCUUCUUGGAGAGUGGAUCGGGGACUCACUUCGAUAAGCUCAUCUCACAAGUCUGCUCUUGCACGAGGGUGAAUGAAAUCAGUUGGCAUCCAGCUCACUUCUUCACGGCAAUAGACCGCCAUGUCCUUCUGCACCUUUCUGCAUCCGUAUCCUCCCUGAGGGCUUCCCCCGUGCAUUCUACAUUCUAUUCCAUCUCAGUAGCAAGGCCCCUGUGGUCCCAACUGAGGCCCCGCUAACUCGUCGGCUGCUGAAGCCUCUGCAGCCAUCCCCCCCGCUGCCCACAGACAUCCUGGGAAUGAGGCACAGUCGUUUCUCUGGACAGAUGUGGCAACUGAGGGUCAGGUCGUUGAAGUAAUUAAAGUCCCCCAGUGAGACAGAAGCGGCAUCAGGCCCUACCCCUGCCUAUCCGAUUCAGAAGUACACGUGGUGGGUCACUGUGUCAGCCCGCUUCUAAGAGCAAUUAUUAGUAAUCACGAGGAGCGGGCGAGACAUUGCACAGCUGAGUCAGCCAGCAGCCAGACCUACGCUUGUGAAUCGGUCACCUCUCCUGUUGUCUGACAUCCUCCCCUGGCAUCUGGGAAAGGGCUUUCUCUAGCCAGACUCCCCUGCCUCUGUGCCCUAGAGUCGGGCUGCCCUCCUGUGCCAAGAUUCACUUCCUCUCUUCUGACCUGUCUUCUUGCACCCUGGGCAAGGAGAGGCAGAAAGACUUGGUCCUGGCUGAGUCUGCUGCAGGGACUCUGGUCACUUUGUCAGCUGAUAGAGACAGCGAGUGGGUGGCUCAGAAAGCCCAUGGGACACAGCCCUUGUUAUGAAACCACCAUUGGUUCCAGAAGGGAAAAUUCCUUUACUGCCCACCUUGGGAGGGAUGGGCUGCCUGAGGGCUGUCCGCCUUCACAGGAAUGGAGAAGACCGGGGACAGGAAUCGGGUGUGGCAAGGGGCCAUAAAAUUUUCCAGUCUCUUC